GAUGAAGAACGUAGCGAAAUGCGAUAAGUAAUGUGAAUUGCAGAAUUCAGUGAAUCAUCGAAUCUUUGAACGCACAUUGCGCCCGCCAGUAUUCUGGCGGGCAUGCCUGUUCGAGCGUCAUUACAACCCUCAGGCCCCCGGGCCUGGCGUUGGGGAUCGGCGGAGCCCCCCGUGGGCACACGCCGUCCCCCAAAUACAGUGGCGGUCCCGCCGCAGCUUCCAUCGCGUAGUAGCUAACACCUCGCGACUGGAGAGCGGCGCGGCCACGCCGUAAAACACCCCACUUCUUCAAGGUUGACCUCGGAUCAGGUAGGAAUACCCGCUGAACUUAAGCAUAUCAAUAAGCGGAGGA
rnacentral:misc_RNA from 1 species